rnacentral:rRNA from 1 species
AUUGAACGCUGGCGGCAUGCUUUACACAUGCAAGUCGAGCGGAGAUGAGGUGCUUGCACCUUAUCUUAGCGGCGGACGGGUGAGUAAUGCUUAGGAAUCUGCCUAUUAGUGGGGGACAACAUUCCGAAAGGAAUGCUAAUACCGCAUACGUCCUACGGGAGAAAGCAGGGGAUCUUCGGACCUUGCGCUAAUAGAUGAGCCUAAGUCGGAUUAGCUAGUUGGUGGGGUAAAGGCCUACCAAGGCGACGAUCUGUAGCGGGUCUGAGAGGAUGAUCCGCCACACUGGGACGGAGACACGGCCCAGACUCCUACGGGAGGCAGCAGUGGGGAAUAUUGGACAAUGGGCGGAAGCCUGAUCCAGCCAUGCCGCGUGUGUGAAGAAGGCCUUUUGGUUGUAAAGCACUUUAAGCGAGGAGGAGGCUACCUGGAUUAAUACUCUAGGAUAGUGGACGUUACUCGCAGAAUAAGCACCGGCUAACUCUGUGCCAGCCGCCGCCGUAAAAC